AAGUCGAACGGUAACAGGAGAAGCUUGCUUCUUGCUGACGAGUGGCGGACGGGUGCGUAACGCGUGGGAAUCUACCUUUUAGUGGGGGAUAGCCCGGAGAAAUCCGGAUUAAUACCGCAUAAGCCCUACGGGGGAAAAGGGGCCUCUUCUUGAAAGCUCUUGCUAUUAGAUGAGCCCGCGUAAGAUUAGCUUGUUGGUGGGGUAAAAGCCUACCAAGGCAACGAUCUUUAGCUGGUCUGAGAGGAUGAUCAGCCACACUGGGACUGAGACACGGCCCAGACUCC
rnacentral:rRNA from 1 species